rnacentral:rRNA from 1 species
UACGUAGGGUGCAAGCGUUGUCCGGAAUUAUUGGGCGUAAAGAGCUCGUAGGCGGCUUGUCACGUCGGUUGUGAAAGCCCGGGGCUUAACCCCGGGUCUGCAGUCGAUACGGGCAGGCUAGAGUGUGGUAGGGGAGAUCGGAAUUCCUGGUGUAGCGGUGAAAUGCGCAGAUAUCAGGAGGAACACCAAUAGCGAAGGCAGCUUGCUGGGACGGUACUGACGCUAAGGCGCGAAAGCGUGGGGAGCGAACAGG